GACUCCUGUUCAAUAAUUUUAUUUCACAACUUUUGCUGUAACAAUGGCAGCUGUCUACUGCCACUUCAAAGUUCCUGUUCCACGGCUGUAUUUCUAGAAACCUGCACCCACAUCAGCAGUGGUAUCAAGGCGCAAGAAGAUGGAAUUAUAAUUGAAUAUUUUGAGAUGACACGUCUCAAAUAUGAAAUAAAUCCCCUAACAACGGCGAGAAGAAAACGAGUAAAGAAGACUGAUAAACUUAUUAAAUAGAAAAUAACUAUAAGGAUUUUUUUAUUAAGUAGACAAUAACUCUAAGGAUUUUUUUUGUACAUAAUAACAGUUUGAAAAAUAAACGUUA